CCCUUAGAUGUCCGGGGCCGCACGCGCGCUGCACUGAAGGAAUCAGCGUGGCUUUCUCCCUGACCCGAAAGGGUUGGGAAACCCGUUGAAUCUCCUUCGUGAUAGGGAUUGGGGCUUGAAAUUGUUCCCCAUGAACGAGGAAUUCCCAGUAAGCGCGAGUCAUAAGCUCGCGUUGAUUACGUCCCUGCCCUUUGUACACACCGCCCGUCGCUACUACCGAUUGAACGGUUUAGUGAGGGCCUCGGAUUGGUCUCGGCCCGCUCUUUACCGGGCGGCGCCGUUGGUCGAGAAGACGCUCGAACUUGAUCGUUUAGAGGAAGUAAAAGUCGUAACA
rnacentral:rRNA from 1 species